rnacentral:rRNA from 1 species
AGUGAACGCUGGCGGUAGGCCUAACACAUGCAAGUCGAACGGCAGCACAGUAAGAGCUUGCUCUUACGGGUGGCGAGUGGCGGACGGGUGAGGAAUACAUCGGAAUCUACUUUUUCGUGGGGGAUAACGUAGGGAAACUUACGCUAAUACCGCAUACGACCUACGGGUGAAAGCAGGGGAUCUUCGGACCUUGCGCGAUUGAAUGAGCCGAUGUCGGAUUAGCUAGUUGGCGGGGUAAAGGCCCACCAAGGCGACGAUCCGUAGCUGGUCUGAGAGGAUGAUCAGCCACACUGGAAUUGAGACACGGUCCAGACUCCUACGGGAGGCAGCAGUGGGGAAUAUUGGACAAUGGGCGCAAGCCUGAUCCAGCCAUACCGCGUGGGUGAAGAAGGCCUUCGGGUUUUAAAGCCCUUUUGUUGGGAAAGAAAAGCAGCAGGUUAAUACCCCGCUGUUCUGACGGUACCCAAAGAAUAAGCACCGGCUAACUUCGUG